rnacentral:rRNA from 1 species
CUACGGGUCGCAGCAGUAAGGAAUAUUGCGCAAUGGAGGCAACUCUGACGCAGCCAUGCCGCGUGCAGGACUGAAGGCCUUAUGGGUCGUAAACUGCUUUUAUUUAGGAAUAAACCUUCGUACGUGUACGAGACUGAAGGUACUAAAUGAAUAAGCACCGGCUAACUCCGUGCCAGCAGCCGCGGUAAUACGGAGGGUGCAGGCGUUAUCCGGAUUUAUUGGGUUUAAAGGGUGCGCAGGCGGACUAUUAAGUCAGAGGUGAAAUCCCGGAGCUCAACUUCGGAACUGCCUUUGAUACUGGUAGUCUUGAAUACGGUUGAAGUAGGCGGAAUGUAGCAUGUAGCGGUGAAAUGCAUAGAGAUGCUACAGAACACCGAUCGCGAAGGCAGCUUACUAAGCCGAUAUUGACGCUCAGGCACGAAAGCGUGGGGAGCGAACAGGAUUAGAUACCCCGGUAGUC